UACGGGGGGGGCAAGCGUUGUUCGGAAUUACUGGGCGUAAAGGGCUCGUAGGUGGCCAACUAAGUCAGACGUGAAAUCCCUCGGCUUAACCGGGGAACUGCGUCUGAUACUGGAUGGCUUGAGUUUGGGAGAGGGAUGCGGAAUUCCAGGUGUAGCGGUGAAAUGCAUAGAUAUCAGGAGGAACACCGGUGGCGAAGGCGGCUACCUGGACAGAAACUGACGCUGAGGCACGAAAGCUAGGGGAGCAAACAGG
rnacentral:rRNA from 1 species